CGCGUAGGCGGCCAGUGCAAGUCAGUUGUGAAAUCUCCGAGCUUAACUCGGAAAGGUCAACUGAUACUGCUCGGCUAGAGUGCGGAAGGGGCAACUGGAAUUCUUGGUGUAGCGGUGAAAUGCGUAGAUAUCAAGAGGAACACCUGCGGCGAAGGCGGGUUGCUGGGCCGACACUGACGCUGAGGCGCGAAAGCUAGGGAGCGAAC
rnacentral:rRNA from 1 species